CAGGAAGGGGUGUGCUCAAUUAGUCUCUCUCUGGACUGAAGGCCCAGCCAUGGGACAAGGCAGUGUUUACACAAAACACAGGAGGCACGUUAGACCAGGAAAUACAAGGGCACUCAUCCUAAGACAACAAGCAGCCUUGGCUGAAAACCACAGAGUGGUUUCAAGGGAUGCUGCUGUCUAGGACUCCGUGGUGUGAUGGCUGGACAAGUAAUGAACCUGGAGCAUCACCAAAGCAGUGACCUAGAGGAACUGAAGGAGCCUUUCUCAGCUGGGGUGUGAGGUGUGGCAUGGAUAAAGAGGGCUCUGAGAGACACUGUGACAGUGCUUGGGAGCCAAGGCAGCAGGUAAGUCUAUACCCCACAGGGAUGCCCGAGCACACCCCUCUUCUGCGGCACAGGCUGUAAUGUAUUAGACCUGUAAACAUUGGUAGCUGCAGUCAAAAAUGAAAGCAAAGAGUUUUCAGCUUUCCUAUGUAUUCUCUGGCUUGUUGCUUUGGAACAGGAAUGCACUGUCAUAAUAUCUCUCAUAUGUUGCCAUGUCUUGCUGCUGCUUGGGUUGUCAAUGGGUUGUUUUUUUUCGCUGCAGACUAUUGAAAAAGGGCCUCGCACGCUACAGACCAUAUGUGAGAGUUGCUUUCCUAAAUGCAGUAAUAAACAGCCACGAGAUGAAAUAUCCCCAAGUAAUGAGAUUAGUGACACGGGAUACAGCUUUCAAAAAUAAUUACAUCUGACACCCUCAUCAGCAAGAAGAUGUAGG